UUGAGAUUGUUGUCCAAGUUAAUAGCUAAAGAACUAACUUAAAGUUAAUAGCUAAAGAACUAACUUAAAGUUAAUAGCUCAAGAAUUACCUUAAAGCUCACACAAUUUUAUUCAAUCAAAUAUAUUUUGUUUUCUCUAAAUUGUUCCAUAGAAAUCAUUUAUUCUGAUUAUAUUAGAGAUUUUGGCAGAUAUUAUUCUAUUAACAAACAGUGUAUUAAAAGAUUUUGUUUGUUGUCUAAGUUUGAAACGGUUUAUUUGUGUAUGAACUAUGAGUAUUUGGGAAAAACAUGCCUAUACUUUUCUACUGUGCGAAUAAAUGCCUAAACUAUACAAAAUUUCAAUUACAUACUCGAAUUAAUAAAGUCCACUCUAAUUCAUACAUCGACACUAACGCUGUUUAAUCAUAGUUAACGGUGCUGACUAGCAUGAUUAUGUAGCUGAUUAGUCAGCUUCACAUACAAACGAGCCGUGUAGAAAAAAAAAGUAUUAUGGGUUGAAACUUAAAAAGUUUGGGCAGAGUAUUAAAAUUAUGUUGGGCCAAAUAUUAAUAUUUUUGAGCCAUAAUAAACUACGUCGUUUCAUAAUUCAUCUUCUUUCACUUACCCUUCGACGAAAUUGAUGAGAGAACAUAGGUUUUACGAUUAAGAAAGAAGAAUGUCUAGCUUUGCAAAUUCAAGCUCGUCGCCGGUUUCUGGCGGAGGCAAUUGGAGACAUCGUGGUAGAAAUCGACAGAGAGGAGUGCCAAAAACAUGUCGAUGUGGUGAAGAGGCAGUGAUUAAAACAUCUGGAACGGCUAAAAACUUGGGAGGCUCUUCCAUUGUUGUCCAUAUGGAUCCGAAGAGGACAAGUACCAUCUUUUCAAAUGGACAGACUAGAGUAUGGUGGAAGAGAUUAAGGAUAUUAAUGUUAUGCUAAGUGAUGUAAAAGGAGACAUAUCAUACUUAAAAGGUGAAGUAGUUGGACUCAAGAAGGAGCUUGAAGGAAUGAAGAAAGUGAUUGUCGAGUUGGAGAAAGAUAGGAUUGACUGCAUCAACGAGUUAAAGUCGAUGAAGAAUAUGUAAUGGUGUUCGGUUUUGGCAUUUUCAUCGUUUGCUAUUACUUUUUCGGUUAAGAAUGAU